UCCCAACUUCGGUUAUAAGAUCCCUCGAAGAUGACGAGGUUAAUAGGUUCGAGGUGGAAGCGUGGUGACACGUGGAGCUGACGAAUACUAAUCGAUCGAAGACUUAAUCAAUUU
rnacentral:rRNA from 1 species